rnacentral:rRNA from 1 species
GGAUUAGAUACCCUGGUAGUCCACGCCGUAAACGAUGUCAACUAGUUGUUGGGUAUAUAAAGAUACUUAGUGACGCAGCUAACGCGAUAAGUUGACCGCCUGGGGAGUACGGUCGCAAGACUAAAACUCAAAUGAAUUGACGGGGGCCCGCACAAGCGGUGGAGCAUGUGGUUUAAUUCGAUGCAACGCGAAGAACCUUACCAGGUCUUGACAUCCAGAGAAUCUUUCAGAGAUGAGAGAGUGCCUUCGGGAAUUCUGAGACAGGUGCUGCAUGGCUGUCGUCAGCUCGUGCCG